CAGUCGCCGCGGGAAUACGAAGGGGGCUAGCGUUGUUCGGAAUUACUGGGCGUAAAGCGCACGUAGGCGGACUUUUAAGUCAGGGGUGAAAUCCCGGGGCUCAACCUCGGAACUGCCUUUGAUACUGGAAGUCUUGAGUGUGGAAGAGGUAAGUGGAAUUGCGAGUGUAGAGGUGAAAUUCGUAGAUAUUCGCAGGAACACCAGUGGCGAAGGCGGCUUACUGGUCCACAACUGACGCUGAGGUGCGAAAGCGUGGGGAGCGAACAGGAUUAGAGACCCCGGUAGUCCCUGUCUCUUAUAC
rnacentral:rRNA from 1 species